GUGCGCCGCCGCGGUAAUACCGGCAGCCCGAGUGAUGGCCGAUGUUAUUGGGCCUAAAGCGUCCGUAGCUGGCCGACCAAGUCUCCCGGGAAAUCCACCCGCCCAACGGGUGGGCGUCCGGUGGAAACUGGCCGGCUUGGAACCGGAAGGCUCAGAGAGUACGUCCGGGGUAGGAGUGAAAUCCCGUAAUCCCGGACGGACUACCGAUGGCGAAAGCACUUCGAGAAAACGGAUCCGACAGUGAGGGACGAAAGCCAGGGUCUCCAACCGGAUUAGAAACCCUGGUAGUCC
rnacentral:rRNA from 1 species